rnacentral:rRNA from 1 species
UAACACGCUAUCCAACCUGCCGAUAACUCGGGGAUAGCCUUUCGAAAGAAAGAUUAAUAUCCGAUAGUAUAUUAAAACCGCAUGGUUUUACUAUUAAAGAAUUUCGGUUAUCGAUGGGGAUGCGUUCCAUUAGUUUGUUGGCGGGGUAACGGCCCACCAAGACUACGAUGGAUAGGGGUUCUGAGAGGAAGGUCCCCCACAUUGGAACUGAGNCACGNUCCAANCNNAUACGGGAGGCAGCAGUGAGGNAAUAUUGGUUCAAUGGACGAGAGUCUGAACCAGCCAAGUAGCGUGAAGGAUGACUGCCCUAUGGGUUGUAAACUUCUUUUAUAUGGGAAUAAAAGUAUUCCACGUGUGGGANUUUUGUAUGUACCAUAUGAAUAAGGAUCGGCUAACUCCGUGCCAGCAGCCGCGGUAAUACGGAGGAUCCGAGCGUUAUCCGGAUUUAUUGGGUUUAAAGGGAGCGUAGGUGGAUUGUUAAGUCAGUUGUGAAAGUUUGCGGCUCAACCGUAAAAUUGCAGUUGAAACUGGCAGUCUUGAGUACAGUAGAGGUGGGCGGAAUUCGUGGUGUAGCGGUGAAAUGCUUAGAUAUCACGAAGAACUCCGAUUGCGAAGGCAGCUCACUAGACUGCAACUGACACUGAUGCUCGAAAGUGUGGGUAUCAAACAGGAUUAGAUACCCUGGUAGUCCACACAGUAAACGAUGAAUACUCGCUGUUUGCGAUAUACAGUAAGCGGCCAAGCGAAAGCAUUAAGUAUUCCACCUGGGGAGUACGCCGGCAACGGUGAAACUCAAAGGNAAUUGACGGGGGCCCGCACAAGCGGAGGAACAUGUGGGUUUAAUUCGAUGAUACGCGAGGAACCUUACCCGGGCUUAAANUUGCAUUUGAAUAAUCUGGAAANCAGGUUAGCCGCAAGGCAAAUGUGAAGGUGCUGCAUGGUUGUCGUCAGCUCGUGCCGUGAGGUGUCGGCUUAAGUGCCAUAACGAGCGCAACCCUUAUCUUUAGUUACUAACAGGUCAUGCUGAGGACUCUAGAGAGACUGCCGUCGUAAGAUGUGAGGAAGGUGGGGAUGACGUCAAAUCAGCACGGCCCUUACGUCCGGGGCUACACACGUGUUACAAUGGGGGGUACAGAAGGCAGCUACCUGGCGACAGGAUGCUAAUCCCAAAAACCUCUCUCAGUUCGGAUCGAAGUCUGCAACCCGACUUCGUGAAGCUGGAUUCGCUAGUAAUCGCGCAUCAGCCAUGGCGCGGUGAAUACGUUCCCGGGCCUUGUACACACCGCCCGUCAAGCCAUGAAAGCCGGGGGUACCUGAAGUACGUAACCGCAAGGAGCUCCUAGG